AAACAAGAGCAUGCAACCCUCAAGAGGAAGCUUGAGAACUAUUUUCAGCUUGCAAGAGAAGCUCGUUAACUCGCCUACGUCAAAGCCACAAUGCGGAGGAAUGAUGGUGAUGCCAAAUAAGUGAACGUUACUAGUAGAAUGAAAAACUGUUGACUAUAUAUGUAAAUGUUUGUACUUUCUUAGAAUGAAAUAACUUUUCACUGAAUAAGUAAAAUGUUACUAUCAGUAGAAUGGAAAUAACUUUUGACCAGGUGAAUACGGAUGAUCAGUUUCCGUACA